rnacentral:rRNA from 1 species
GGCGGCGUGCUUAACACAUGCAAGUCGAACGAAGCACUUUAUUUGAUUUCCUUCGGGACUGAUUAUUUUGUGACUGAGUGGCGGACGGGUGAGUAACGCGUGGGUAACCUGCCUUGUACAGGGGGAUAACAGUUGGAAACGGCUGCUAAUACCGCAUAAGCGCACGGCAUAGCAUGAUGCAGUGUGAAAAACUCCGGUGGUAUAAGAUGGACCCGCGUUGGAUUAGCUAGUUGGUGAGGUAACGGCCCACCAAGGCGACGAUCCAUAGCCGACCUGAGAGGGUGACCGGCCACAUUGGGACUGAGACACGGCCCAAACUCCUACGGGAGGCAGCAGUGGGGAAUAUUGCACAAUGGGCGAAAGCCUGAUGCAGCGACGCCGCGUGAGCGAAGAAGUAUUUCGGUAUGUAAAGCUCUAUCAGCAGGGAAGAAAAUGACGGUACCUGACUAAGAAGCCCCGGCUAACUACGUGCCAGCAGCCGCGGUAAUACGUAGGGGCAAGCGUUAUCCGGAUUUACUGGGUGUAAAGGGAGCGUAGACGGAGCAGCAAGUCUGAUGUGAAAACCCGGGGCUCAACCCCGGGACUGCAUUGGAAACUGUUGAUCUGGAGUGCCGGAGAGGUAAGCGGAAUUCCUAGUGUAGCGGUGAAAUGCGUAGAUAUUAGGAGGAACACCAGUGGCGAAGGCGGCUUACUGGACGGUAACUGACGUUGAGGCUCGAGAGCGUGGGGAGCC